GACGAAGGUGGCAAGCGUUGUUCGGAUUCACUGGGCAUAAAGGGCGCGUAGGCGGUUCCGAAAGUGGCAUGUGAAAUCCCCCGGCUCAACCGGGGAAGUGCAUGCCAAACUUCGGUGCUAGAGGGUGGGAGGGGGGACUGGAACUCUCGGUGGAGCGGUGAAAUGCGUAGAUAUCGAGAGGAACACCGGUGGCGAAGGCGAGUCCCUGGUCCACUUCUGACGCUGAGGCGCGAAAGCGUGGGUAGCAAACGGG
rnacentral:rRNA from 1 species